CAAGUAACUCUGGAACCUUUUCAGUGAUUCUCUGCCACAGUUCGCACACAAAAGGAAACUGACCAACGGGACACAAAAGCCCAAGCAUUCAUGACCCUCCCUAACUGAACAAGCACGGCUUUCCAGAAGAAUUGACAUCACAGAAAAUAAGUUUAGGGUCUGAAGGGUCAAAUACAACCGACACGUGUGAUCACAUUCGUCCUGGGCCAGAGAGUUGUCCCUGACCUCAGGAUUUAUGGACCUGACAUCUUCAACACCUGCAGAGAGUCCACAACCGUACUGGCUUCUCCAGCUCCUGAAUUCCUACCCAUCCACAACGAAGGAGCCUGCACUAGACUCCAUGUCCUGAGCCUUGUGCAGCUGAACUACUGCCGUGCCACCAUCAAGGUCUGAAAAUCUCACCUUUCUGGAACCACGUACAGAUGCCCGAUCACUGCUGCACAAAGCCAACCCCCAUGCUGUUCUUCCCUGACAUCUCCUCUGCCAGGAGUUCCCUUCCUGAUGAUUCUAAUGCUGAAACAGGUCAAUUGUUGACCACAACUUUCAAUAAAGCGCCUUAGCAUGGAUUAA